UCAAGGCAAUGUGAAUAAGGAAUUUUUUUCUACUAAUGAGUAACUAGAGGCGAUGACUUUGCAGCACAUAUUAGAGAGAAGUUUAUUCUCCUAAGAGAAUAAUUUCUGAAGAUGUAAACCCAAAGUGAAUCUUAAGCAAUGUAGAUAUAGAAAUCUACAUUUUGAUAAAAGAAUAAUAAGAAUACUCACAUAGGAAUGUGAUAUCCCAAAUCUCAUUAGUGUUGUGGAUGAACACAAGAUCAACAGAACAGAAACAAAGCAAGAAGAGAAAUGUGAAUUAACCAGAACAAUAACAAAAAAUAUCUCGGCCAAAUGCCUUUCAUUUGUGUUGGUAAUUUAUAACUGAAUGUUAAUGGCAAUUCUCAUCAAAAAUUUAGUUUUCAUGCUCAAUAACAUAUCAGAUAAAUAAAUACAUAUAUUUCAUUCCUUGUUGGGAGUUUAUGGUUUAAAACUAAUAUUUUUAUUUUGUUCACAAAAUAUAAAGUUAAUAAAUCUCUGAGUUAUUAUUGCAGAAUAGAAAUAUGUCUGCAUGGACUUCGCCUGACUACCACUACAGCUGCCUUGAUUCUGGAACCAAAAGUAGGCAGUUCAGACCACACAGCUCUCUUGUGUUACUGUGAGAAUUACAACACAUCUGUUGCAGCAUCAUUAGCAAUAUCCUACAGAGGAAGAGCAUUGGUGACACCCAGCAAAACCUGUAUAUUGCUCAGGUAGCAAGAAAAUAAUAAAAGAGAGAAUAGGGGAGAAAAGAAAAGUCAUGUUUUCAAAUAUAAGAAGACUUAAUUUUUAUAUCACAGUUCAGACACAUAACAAAGCAUACCACAAAUAAAGAGAAUUCAAUAAGGCCAGGAGCUUGCAUUACAGGUAAAGAAAAAAAUUUUAGACUCAAAAUUUAUUUUCCCAGCUACUCAAUCCCUUAAAUGGAACUUUCACAAUGGAGACACCAGUUGCAAAAGCAAACCAGUUUCAAAAUAUUGGUGAAAGAAAUAUUGAAGAUAAUCUAACAUACAAUCACUGGAGGAUAGGCUUACUGAAAAAUAAAGCAGAAUGCCUAAUAUGUUGUCACUACUGAACACUUACUAUAUCUAUCCACCUGCCAGAAAUAUACAAAGCUGGAUACACCUAGAGAGAAAUGAGUCCUAUUCCUAACCCUAAUCUGUUCCAUCUGUUCGCUUAAGGAAAUGUGUGCACCACAUCACCUAUAAAAGGCAGUCAGGAAAGUACAAUGUAGAUGGUUAUUCCUUCAUAUCUAACCAUUUCAUCCUCAGAUACAGUAUAGUGUAAGGAUAACUUCUUAAAUGAGUUGUUGACAAGACUAGAUUUACUCGGUUGCUACCAUAACCUAUAACUAAUGACCACAUGGACCCUAAAUAAAACCAGAAUUUGUUGUCCACAUUUCUUAUCUCAUUUACCUGUUCCUGCUUCAUAAGUUUUCCAUUUACAUUUUCUUAUCACUGAAACAUCAUUAGUUACAAAAAUUCACAUUGAAGACUGAAUUUUGAUUAAGUAAAUAUUUUAGAUGAAAAUUAUAAAAAUGAACAAUAUUCAAGAAAUCAAUACUUUUUUUCCCAGAAUGCUACAUUUAUACUGGUAAAAGAGGGCAUUGAACUAAAAUGAGUGGAGCCUAACAGAGAAGCUGUGCUAGCUACUCUACUUCUAGUCAUUGUCUGCAUUUCAGUAGCUUAACAAAAUUGAAGUCAUUUCUUACUCAUAUCAAAGUACAAUAUGGUUAUUUCUGGUCAAUAAGGGGAAGGGAGAGUGAUGUUGCUACAAAAAAUUUGAAAAAAAA